UUUCAUUAUUGCAAAAUUUUAAAAGAGAUCACUACCAACCAAUAAAGUUGUUUGACUGCUUCUACAGGAAAAAAUCUAAAUUUACAAGAUAUAUAUAAAUGCAAAAGUUCUGGCACUCUAUAUACAAGGCUGAAUUAAGUAUCAUCUGAAUUUGACUUGAUACUUCAUUCCACAAGGAUGUUAAUGACUUAUCUCACAUAAGGUAUGUCCAAUAAAUUAGUAUCUGAAAGUAAUCAGCAAUACAAAUUAUUCAAUUACUUGUCCAUGGCAAGAGGCAAGGUGUGGCCCCACCAGCAAACACCCACUUGGUUAUUAAUUAUAAGAAUUUUUUAAUGUACCUUUCUGGCAACACAGAAGGUCCUUCCAGUUAUGCAGGCUGAGUCUUGGAACAUAUAGCUCUCAUAUGACAUAUUCCAGAAAAUGGACAGGCAAGUUCAAAAACUUAGCAGCUAAUUCAAACUCAGCUAAUUACAUGGAUUGACUACUUAUAUUGUGUAAGAGUUUUUACAUAUAGAGAAAGUUGAUGUUAUAUUAAUCAAUAGUCUAGCAAGUGUUGCCUAAAGCAUUGAUUCUCUUUACCUUUUUAGUUUGAAUUAAGUUUUCUUCAAAUAAUCAAGAACCAUUUAUUGCUUCUAAUUUGUAUUAAGAGUGUCUUUACACUGAUGAACAGGUUUAUAGAGUGGAAGUUCAUGGAAAUUAGGCAAAUGAAAUAGAGCAAACAAUAAUAACACAUAAAACUAACAGAUAAAAUGUGAUCAAUGUAUUUCUUAUUCACAAAACAUCCUUUGCCGCAGAUUUAACAUGAAGAGUCAAGUAGCAAAAAAUAAUAAGAAAUCCCUUAAUGUAACACCAUGCUCGUAUAGUUUGCCGAGAGUAUAAAACGACAGACCAUAUAUUUUGGUGCUCAAAUCCUUCCCGUUAGUUAGAUCAAAAAUUCCAACUAAAAAUACCUCAAAAAACCCUAAACAAAGUUUAAUUUGUUUUUCCAACUAACUAGAUAAUUACAGUUUUACAAACUAGAAAUGAAAAAAUUUAUCAUAUAAUACAAACAAAGGACAGAGUAAAUUAUUGGGUUUAUAUGAAACUUACCAGAGAAAGAAAGUAGUAGAAGCGGCGAAACAAUUUUCCGGCAAAACAAUAGCGAAAGCGAACAACCACAGAAAAUAUCAAACACGAAAAAAUACCGGUAAUUUACAUAUGAGAUUCCCUUUUAUUAGCCGAAAUGGUUGUCCUUCUUCGGAAUUCCUUCGUUGAAGUAGGCCGCACAGUUCGUCAAUGGCGGAUUUUUCUAGGUUUGAAGACG
rnacentral:lncRNA from 1 species